CCCCUAGUAACUGCGAGUGAAGCGGGAAAAGCUCAAAUUUAAAAUCUGGUAGUCUUUGGCUGCCCGAGUUGUAAUCUAGAGAAGCGUUAUCCGCGCUGGACCGUGUACAAGUCUCCUGGAAUGGAGCGUCAUAGAGGGUGAGAAUCCCGUCUUUGACACGGACUACCAGGGCUUUUGUGAUGCGCUCUCGAAGAGUCGAGUUGUUUGGGAAUGCAGCUCAAAAUGGGUGGUAAAUUCCAUCUAAAGCUAAAUAUUGGCGAGAGACCGAUAGCGAACAAGUACCGUGAGGGAAAGAUGAAAAGAACUUUGGAAAGAGAGUUAAACAGUACGUGAAAUUGCUGAAAGGGAAACGCUUGAAGUCAGUCGCGUUGUCCAGGGAUCAACCUUGCUUUUGCUUGGUGCACUUUCUGGUUGACGGGUCAGCAUCAAUUUUGACUAUUGGAAAAAGAUCAGGGGAAUGUGGCAUCUUCGGAUGUGUUAUAGCCCUUGGUUGCAUACAAUGGUUGGGAUUGAGGAACUCAGCACGCCGCAAGGCCGGGUUUUAACCACGUACGUGCUUAGGAUGCUGGCAUAAUGGCUUUAAUCGACCCGUCUUGAAACACGGACCAAGGAGUCUAACAUGCCUGCGAGUGUUUGGGUGGAAAACCCGAGCGCGUAAUGAAAGUGAAAGUUGAGAUCCCUGUCGUGGGGAGCAUCGAUGCCCGGACCAGACCUUUUGUGACGGUUCCGCGGUAGAGCAUGUAUGUUGGGACCCGAAAGAUGGUGAACUAUGCCUGAAUAGGGUGAAGCCAGAGGAAACUCUGGUG
rnacentral:rRNA from 1 species